rnacentral:rRNA from 1 species
GACGAAUGCUGGCUGCGUGCUUAACACAUGCAAGUCGAACGGUGAAGGGGAGCUUGCUCCCCGGAUCAGUGGCGAACGGGUGAGUAACACGUGGGCAACCUGCCCCUCACUCUGGGAUAACUCCGGGAAACCGGGGCUAAUACCGGAUACGACCGGGAGCGACAUCGCUCCUGGUGGAAAGAACUUCGGUGAGGGAUGGGCCCGCGGCCUAUCAGCUAGUUGGUAGGGUAACGGCCCACCAAGGCGACGACGGGUAGCCGGCCUGAGAGGGCGACCGGCCACACUGGGACUGAGACACGGCCAAGACUCCUACGGGAGGCAGCAGUGGGGAAUAUUGCGCAAUGGGCGAAAGCCUGACGAAGCGACGCAGCGUGAGGGACGAAGGCCUUCGGGUUGUAAACCUCUUUCAGCGGGGACGAAGCGAAAGUGACGGUACCCGCAGAAGAAGCACCGGCUAACUACGUGCCAGCCGCCGCCGUAACAC